UCUCUGGUGGUCCAGUGGCUAAGACUCUGUGCUACCAAUGCAGGGGGCCUGGGUUCAAUCCCUGGCCAGGGAA
rnacentral:tRNA from 1 species